rnacentral:rRNA from 1 species
ACGCACGCUGGCGGCGUGCUUCACCCAUGCAAGUCGAACGGAAAGGCCCUGCUUUUGUGGGGUGCUCGAGUGGCGAACGGGUGAGUAACACGUGAGUAACCUGCCCUUGACUUUGGGAUAACUUCAGGAAACUGGGGCUAAUACCGGAUAGGAGCUCCUGCUGCAUGGUGGGGGUUGGAAAGUUUCGGCGGUUGGGGAUGGACUCGCGGCUUAUCAGCUUGUUGGUGGGGUAGUGGCUUACCAAGGCUUUGACGGGUAGCCGGCCUGAGAGGGUGACCGGCCACAUUGGGACUGAGAUACGGCCCAGACUCCUACGGGAGGCAGCAGUGGGGAAUAUUGCACAAUGGGCGGAAGCCUGAUGCAGCAACGCCGCGUGCGGGAUGACGGCCUUCGGGUUGUAAACCGCUUUCGCCUGUGACGAAGCGUGAGUGGCGGUAAUGGGUAAAGAAGCACCGGCUAACUACGUG